CCUACGGGGGGCAGCAGUGGGGAAUAUUGGACAAUGGGCGAAAGCCUGAUCCAGCCAUGCCGCGUGUGUGAAGAAGGCCUUCGGGUUGUAAAGCACUUUCAGUGGGGAAGAAAGCCUUGGGGCUAAUACCCUCGAGGAAGGACAUCACCCACAGAAGAAGCACCGGCUAACUCCGUGCCAGCAGCCGCGGUAAUACGGAGGGUGCGAGCGUUAAUCGGAAUUACUGGGCGUAAAGCGCGCGUAGGCGGUCUGAUAAGCCGGUUGUGAAAGCCCCGGGCUCAACCUGGGAACGGCAUCCGGAACUGUCAGGCUAGAGUGCAGGAGAGGAAGGUAGAAUUCCCGGUGUAGCGGUGAAAUGCGUAGAGAUCGGGAGGAAUACCAGUGGCGAAGGCGGCCUUCUGGACUGACACUGACGCUGAGGUGCGAAAGCGUGGGUAGCAAACAGGAUUAGAUACCCUAUAGUC
rnacentral:rRNA from 1 species